rnacentral:rRNA from 1 species
AUUGAACGCUGGCGGCAUGCUUUACACAUGCAAGUCGAACGGUAACAGGCCGCAAGGUGCUGACGAGUGGCGAACGGGUGAGUAAUGCAUCGGAACGUGCCAGUCGUGGGGGAUAACGCAGCGAAAGCUGUGCUAAUACCGCAUACGAUCUGUGGAUGAAAGCGGGGGACCGAAAGGCCUCGCGCGAUUGGCGCGGCCGAUGUCAGAUUAGGUAGUUGGUGGGGUAAAGGCUCACCAAGCCAACGAUCUGUAGCUGGUCUGAGAGGACGACCAGCCACACUGGGACUGAGACACGGCCCAGACUCCUACGGGAGGCAGCAGUGGGGAAUUUUGGACAAUGGGCGCAAGCCUGAUCCAGCAAUGCCGCGUGCAGGAAGAAGGCCUUCGGGUUGUAAACUGCUUUUGUACGGAGCGAAAAGGCUCUCUCUAAUACAGGGGGCUCAUGACGGUACCGUAAGAAUAAGCACCGGCUAACUACGUGCCAGCCGCCGCCGUAACAC